rnacentral:rRNA from 1 species
GUUGAACGCUGGCGGCAUGCCUAACACAUGCAAGUCGAACGGUAACAGGAAGAAGCUUGCUUCUUUGCGUACGAGUGGGGGACGUGUGAGUCAUGUCUGUGAAACUGCCUUAUGGAGGGGGUUACCUACUGGAAACGGUGGCUAAUACCGCAUAACUACUCAAGACCAAGGAGGGGGACCUUCGGGCCGCUUGCCAUCGGCUGUGCCCAGAUUGGAUUAGCUAUUAGGUGGGGUAACGGCUCACCAAGGCGACGAUCCCUAGCUGGUCUGAGAGGGUGACCAGCCACACUGGAACUGAGACACGGUCCAGACUCCUACGGGAGGCAGCAGUGGGGAAUCUUGCACAAUGGGCGAAAGCCUGACGCAGCAAUGCCGCGUGUAUGAAGAAGGUCUUCGGGUUGUAAAGCUCUUUUAGCGGGGAGGAAGAGAGUAAAGAUAAACCAUUCACUUCUUGACGGUACCUACAGAAAAAGCCACGGCUAACUACGUG